AUUGGAUAAAAAAGCAAGACUCAACUAUAUGCUGCUUACAAGACACAAAGAAGAAAACAAAACAAAGGUUUUGGGCAUGGAACUUUUAAACCCGGUCCAGAGCAUCGCUUUGACAGAGGGCAGGGCCUUCAGAAUAAGAAGUCACAGUGGAAGACACGAACGGAAGUGAGGCGGCAGUCCAGGAAGCCUACAUUUCAGAAGGCAAAGGAACACCCGUGAAUGGGGGAUAAUUUGCCAGAAAUGCUUUUCAAGGCUCCAGGAUGCUGAAAGCUGAAAGCAACCUGGAAUUAUAGUGGAGGUUAGUUCCAAGUUGAUUUCCUGGAGUAAAUUCAUUAAAAGCUAAAAAUUGAGCCCUCACUCACAAUCUGGUAAUGUAAUUUCAAAGAGCAUAGAUUCCUAUCCUGCAGGCUCUGUCCCACUGUUUCACACACAUCUUCAUCUUCCAGACCAAGCCCGCCCGGGGCUUCUGCAUCCGCUUGUAGACAGUCUUCUCAGAUGUGUUGAAUUACCUAUAGUGGUUUCCAGGUGGGGGCAAUUUUGACCCUGAGGGGACAUUUGGCGAUGCCUAGAAAAGUUUUUGGUUGUCACACCUUGAGGGUGCUCCUGGCAUCUAGGGUGGAGGCCAGAUAUGUUACUAAACAUCUUAAAAAGCACAGGACAGCCCCGCACAACAACAAUUAUCUGGCCUAAAACGUAUGCAGUGCCGAGGCGAGAAAGCCUGGUCUACAUCAGUGGUUCUCACUCAAAGCUUUCCCAAGAGUGGUCCGCAACCCGGCAGCCUCAGCACUGGGCAGAUUAGGACGGCAAACUCUCGGGCUCCUUGUCUGACCUAUGGAGCAGAAACCCUGGAGGUGGAGUCCAGCAAUCUGUGUGUUGGACUCGUGGUCCAAGUCGUCUGAAGAGCAGGCAACUGACUGAGAGCAGGAAGCUUGGAAUAUUUAGGAACAAACAGGGAACAGCCUGUUCUCUUUCUUUUUUAAUAGAAAUCAAAUGCGUGACCACGAGCUGAACUUUUCAGCCUUGUUGGCGGAAGUCUGGUCAGGACCCAGCACACCCGCAUCACCUGUGCGCUUCCAGAGCGGACCAGCGAGCAGGCUCACACCUCGUGAUGCAAAAGCCGCUUACAGCAAGAGCCCCGGGUGACUCGCGUGCCUGUGGAGGCGGCGGAGCGCCACUGCAGAGCACGAAGCUUUCCCGUAGAGCCUCGCUUUCUCCCCCGUGGGCGCCCCGCGGAAACCAGCCUGCCCAGCCUUGGAGCAGCCGGUUCUCCAAGUGUGGUCCUGGAACCAGCAGCUCAGCAUCACCAGGGAGCUUGCGAGAGAUGUAGAUCCACGACCACCGCAGACCCGGUGGAUCCCGGUCUGGGGCGGGGCCCGCAGCCUGGGUCUAACAGCCCUGCGGGGUUCUGACGCGAACGUCUGAGAACCUGCGCUUUAGAGACGGUGGGUCUGGACGGCAGACAGAGCUGUGGCCUCCGCGGAUGGUUUAGGGAGCGCCUGCAGACGCCAGCCCUGUGCACACACCGCCGGUACCCUAGAGGGGUUCGACGUGGUUUUAGGGCCAAUUCCUAAUUAGGAGAAUCUGAGUCAAUGUUAUUUCGUUGGUUCUGUGAAUAAUAACAUUUUGGAUUACACGGAAAAUUUAGUUUACAAAGUGCCUGCCAUGGUAUUUAAUUUAAUCCUCACUGUAACACAAGGACGUAGAUGUAAUUGCCUCCCACAGCAGAUGGGACAACUGAGCUUGAGAAAGAUUAAGUGACUUUUUAAAGGGCAUAUUGAAAGGGGCAGGGCCAGUCUUGAAAUCCAAAAGCACAAUUGCAAAGAGAUCUUCUACAAGCCUUUUGAAAAGUUAAGUGGAGGAGGUUUCAAAUGCAGCUGAAAACUCCACGAUGGUUUUCACCUUGUGGGAAACAAAUUUCAGGCACAGAUUAAUGAAGACAGACCCAUAAAACAUAAAAUUCAAAACUCCCUCUCUAAAAGUUCAACAACAAUAACAGAAAUACGAAUACAUAGGGAGAAAGAGAUAAAGCAAAUAAGGCAGAAUGUUAACAUUCGGUGAAUCUAGGUGGAUUUAUAAGUUCUUGUUGCAGAAUUUCUGCCACUUUUCUUUGACAUAAAGUCAACAGGACCUUCAACACUGGUCUGCGUGCUGGCAUAGAUGAGACACUGCACUUCUUACCUACCCUUGGACGUGCUCCUAGAAGCCCUGUCAAAUGGCUGCCCGGGCUACGGGAACCCGUCUCGGCCUGCCCUGCGGGAGGCAGGGGACAAACGUACGAGUAACAAGCAAGGUGCAUUUACGUUGUUUUCCUCUGGCACUGGAGCUUGUCCAUUUAUGAUAAUAUUCUUCACGGUCAAUAGUUCACUGUCAAAAGGGCAAUUCUGGGUUGCAAUUUUUAUUAGUAUGGGUGUGUUCUGUCUAACCCCAGGUGCGAGGCCAGUGUCACACAGAAGUCCUGGGGACCGUUAGAGAAUCCAGCCUUUAACGUGCUGCGGCCCUGGUGCUGAGGUCCCCAAACAGUGGCAGUGACCCCAUCGGGCUACAUCUCAGAGCGUUUCCUAAACUGUGCUGCUUGUCCACCACUUUCCUCAUGUGUCACAGCCAGUGUUUCUGAAAGCCUUUCUGAUUAAAUACUGGAGUGGGAAAAAAUAACUAGAAAGACAUUAUUGAGACAACUGGGGACGUUUGAUUUAGAUAAUAGCGUUUCUGUCAAAAAUGAAUGACUACGCCUCCACAUGCCCCCACCCACUUGUCGGGAGCAGUCCUGCCACACGGGCUCAGGGCCUCUUGACUUCUCCCGUGUGGACAGCAAGGAAAUUAUAGUGAGAGCUAACAACGGCACACCUUU
ensembl:lncRNA